AGCUUUUCAGAUUUCGCUCUUAAGUGUUUUACUCAGUUGAAUUGUAUUAAAUGCGUCAUUCGCUCUCUCAAAAAGUCACAUAAAAAAAAAAUAAUAAUAAUUGACCGCGUAGUUUUUGAGUUAUGGCCAUAGCAACACCAUAGCAACGAGGGACGCGCCGUCCUGCCGACCCCUACCUCAUGACGUAACUUCCAGGAAGCCUCGCCACCACUCUGAACGCGGAAAUAUAGCACCACGCUAUCCUCGCCAUAUAUUGCAUACAUUUUCUGGGUUUUACUCGCGGGAUUCGUCAUGCCAUCUCGAUGUGUAGCGAUGAAUUACUCACAGGAAGAUUCGAGACUCUAGGAGUGGUCCCAAAAAAACUUCUCCUGCAAAGCCACGACAGCUUUGAAAACCUACAACAAUGCAACCUUGGUUUUGCAAAGACGAAGCCAAACAUAAAAAAUUAAGUGGCGGAAACCCUCAACACGAUGAAAAAAGCGUUGCAAGUCAGUUGCCACCCAGUUUCCCAAAAUCAAGAGAGAGUGGG